rnacentral:lncRNA from 1 species
UGCUUUCAGUUUGCCCCAGCAGGGUAUUAAUCCUGUAAUCGGAAUUGCAUCAAGCCUUAUGACUCCUGCCAGAAACUUCAGAAGCUAAGGGAUACAUCGAUCUAGUUAUUACAGAAGAGAACUUCAGAAGAGUGGAAAAAGGGAGGAGCAAUUAUUUGUGAAUUCCAAGUGUGAUACUAUAUGACAUGUUAGGCCAAUGGGACAUGGAUGGAAGUGAUGUGUGUCCUAGAAGAGGAUGUGUUUCAGAUGGUAGAGCUACAAGAUGUGACAACAACAACUACUACUAUUACCAAUAAAACAAUGAGGAUAGAGGACCUUAUGAAGCAUGGGUACAUGAUAAGAUUAAGAGAAGAGGGUUGAAGGGGGAGCAAAAGGAAGAUUGAAGCUUUACUAAUGUCACAACUUUUCUUACUAGCAUUGCUGAAAAUAAAAACACAACAAAAAC